GUGUGCCGGGCUGGGGGGAGGAGAGAGGCUCCCCCGCCCGCCUUAAAGCUUGAGAGAUCACUUAGCCAGAAAUGAACAUGAACCCUUUCAAAAGAGCUUCUUCCCCGUUUUCAACCGCCCCACCGAACCGGGAUCUCCCUCAGCCUCAUCCGGAGCUCCCUCUGCCCCCGCUGCCCAGCCUGGUUCCCUUCCCCGGCCCCUUACCCCGGCUCGGAGCCUAGAUUGUCCCAGCAUGAGUGACAUUGGCUUUCCUAAUGUAAUGACUUAUGAAAGAUAUAAUCAUGUGUUAAAUUGAAUCCUCCGCUUAACUGUUAAUGGUGUGCUCUGGGCACAUUUACGUAUUAGAUGCUAUGGUAACUAAUUACCACUAGAAGAAGGGAUAAUACACUUUCCAGACUUUGACAAAUAAUUAUGAGUGUUCACAUCCCUGCUAGCAGCAGUUGCAGCGGAUCUGCUGGAAUGAUGUCUAUGCACUACCAAAUGAAGUGAAACCAAGAGUUGAUGCUCUACAUCUCCUGAUUCAAACAACUUUCAAUGACCAUUGGCACGGGUCUCCCUCUGAACCCUGGAUCCAGAACUGGAAGAUAUGUAGCUCCCUUAAAACUCCCUCUUUUGAAUAAAGUACUUAAAACACCA